rnacentral:rRNA from 1 species
UACGGGGGGAGCAAGCGUUGUUCGGAUUUACUGGGCGUAAAGGGCGCGUAGGCGGCCUCUGCAAGUCGACUGUGAAAUCUCCGGGCUUAACCCGGAACGGUCAGCCGAUACUGCAGGGCUAGAGUGCAGAAGGGGCAACUGGAAUUCUCGGUGUAGCGGUGAAAUGCGUAGAUAUCGAGAGGAACACCUGCGGCGAAGGCGGGUUGCUGGGCUGACACUGACGCUGAGGCGCGAAAGCUAGGGGAGCGAACAGG